CUCUUCCCGAUCUCCUCCUCCCCGAGCCCGGCGCACCGAGCCGGCCGUGCCACCGAGCUGCGGCUCUGGCCCCGGCGCCGCGGGUGCGCUGCGGAUGGGCUUGGGGCGCACCCAGCGAGCAGCGAGAGUCGCGGUGUCCCGGGCGCUCGCUGGCACCGUGGCCGCAGCGGCCGGCCUGGGAGCCAGGAGGGCGAGGCGGCUGCACCUUCGGGGCCAGAUUGGAGUUCGAAGAGUGGCGGGUACCCCAGAAGCUCGGGGCCGGGGCGAUGGCUGCAGCCUCGGGAGGGUAUCGCCGGAUCGAACUCCGGGAAAGGGAAGCAAAGGCAUGGAACCUCCGCACACUGGAUGAGAAUCCAUCUUCCAUUCGAGCUGGGAAUAGACUUUGUGAAAGAUAUUAUGUAAUGGAGUCUCGGGAACCCUGAGACCUCUCCAGCGAAGCUGAAGUGAAUUAAUUAAGUGCUUUAAACGGUCUUGGUGCUGUGUUACGGGAGAGAGUGACUGGAAAGUAACAAAGCUGAAUCUUUCUCCCUGGAGUAAGGCCGAAGACUGGAUUACUACACGCCUAGACGUGACACUACACCCAUAGAUCUCAUGCAUCAUUAAUGCCAUAUGACAUUGCCAUUUUCUUUCUCAGUUCACGGACAAAAGUGGUGGGUUUUCAUUGUCUUCACUGAUUGUCAAUGCAUUAAUAAAGAAGAUGUGUGGUACAUAGUCUUUGUGAUAAAUCAGGUAAAGAAGCAACGGAAGUGAUGCAAAAUGCACGGUGUGGAGAUGGUUUCUCUUCAGUGGUUGUCAGAAAAGGUUUUCGUAAUGAUGGCUCUGUCAUUGAUGGGAUAUGAAGUAGUAAUCCGCUCCGUAGUGACCUACCAUUCACAAGAUGGGUACCAGGUGAAUAACAUUAAUUAAUUGACAAAAAGUGACUGUGGUCAAUGGGGGAAAAAAUCGAUCCCGUGGCAGGUGUGACGUGGGAAUGGCUGGCCCACCCUCUGAUCCAAGAUGGUCUGGCUGCAGGAAGGUGGCAGCCAAGUGGAUUCUGAAAAUCGUGACUAAUGAACCGAAAGUUAAUAGCUGGCAGUGCAAGGAAAGAGGAAACAAAGCUACCUUUGAAAUGUUAUGUUUGUGGAACAAAUUCAUACUUACGAUAAAUAUUUUAGUUU
rnacentral:lncRNA from 1 species